rnacentral:lncRNA from 1 species
GGCAAGAGACAUUGGUGUACACUGGGCCUGUUGGGUCUGCUACCCAAUUCCCGGUAAAGAUAUCACACUUGGUGGAAGCUACAAUUGUUCACACACAGAGAUUCAAUCAUAUAAUUUCGUAGAGAUUGCUCAGGUUUUAGGGGAAUUACAGAUGUUGAUAUUGAUUGCAUGAAAAAAAAGGAAGAAAACCCAAAUUUCUGGAUCUUACUCUAUUAUGAGUUUUGCACUAACUUUCCCUGAUGAUUGAUAAAAAGAUCUCUUCUCUUACCAUUAUGUGAAGCAUUGGUGAGGUUCCCUGGGGAAUCAGCGGAGGCUGGAGCUUGAGCGACGGCAGUGAGACCGGAAGGAUCUGCCGGUGGAGAUCCCGGCGAGGUUCUUACAUCGGGAACCGGAGAGACUGUGGAAUCGGUGAUGAUGAAACGGUAAGCG